GGAACUCAGUCCUUCUUUGGUAUUUAAAAGGUGGAUAUUCCUUCUAUGGUUACGUGCUUCCUGGAUAAUCAUAGAGGAACAUCCACUUUUUCAGUAUCAAAUGUCGCUCUGGAACUAU
rnacentral:precursor_RNA from 7 species